GAAUUGCGGGUGGGAGAAUUUCUUCCAUUGCAAUAAAUGCCGAUGCUGCUACUCGGUUCUUUUGAAGAAUAGCCAUCCCUGUGUUGAAGGAGCAAUGCAAAUGACUGCCCUGUUUGCUUUUGAGUAUCUAUUUGAGUCGAGAAAUGAUGUAACCGUCAUGCCCUGUGGGCAUACUAUUCACGAGAGCUGCUUAAAGGAUAUGCAUGAACAUUAUCGGUGAGGGUCUAAAGAAUUAAUUCUCGGCGAAAUGUGGACUGGCAUGGUGAGGGUUAUUGUCUCCAGAAGGAAACCAAUCUGGACAUAUCUCCAUGCCUUUGGGAUGGAGUAAGCCAGAAUGAAGAAGAUCUGUCCUACAUGUUUGACGAAACAACACCUGUUAAGGCCUGUGGGGAUUUGGCUUACCAUGUUGCU